UACAGAGGUCUCAAGCGUUGUUCGGAUUCAUUGGGCGUAAAGGGUGCGUAGGCGGCGCGGUAAGUCGGGUGUGAAAUCUCGGAGCUUAACUCCGAAACUGCAUUCGAUACUGCCGUGCUUGAGGACUGGAGAGGAGACUGGAAUUUACGGUGUAGCGGUGCAAUGCGUAGAUAUCGUAAGGAAGACCAGUGGCGAAGGCGGGUCUCUGGACAGUUCCUGACGCUGAGGCACGAAGGUCAGGGGAGCAAACGGG
rnacentral:rRNA from 1 species